GUGCUCCCACUGGCAGUACAAAUACUGAAGUUGGAAUGAUAAUGAGAUUAGCAUGGCCUCUUUGCAAGGUUGACACACACAUUCAUUGGCAUUCCAUAUUUUG